GUGUAAACACUGAGGCCCAUAGAGGUCAUCACCUGCCCAACUGGACAGCUGUGAAGCCACAGCUCACACCACUUGCUGCAUCCUCCUGCAAUUUCAGCACACUUUCUCUUGUGCUGCUCUCCCUGGAAAGACAGUGCUUUUCCCCAACACCAAUUCCACCGGCAUCGCCCUAGAAAAAUACUCACAAAGAACACGGGGAGCUAUGUCUAAGGAUCUUCAAUGAAGUAUUGUUAUAAUGGACAUUUAGUUACAACUUAAAUGUUCACCAACUGGGUGAACAUUUCCACUGACUGGGGAAUGACCAGAAACAGAAAACAGAGAACUAUGCUGUAUAACCAUCACAUGAAAUUCUGGGCAGCGGUAGAAAGGAAUGAAUGAAUCUGCUCAUGCUUACAUGAAAAGAGACAUAUUGUGAAGUGAAGGAAGUUUCAGAAUGAAGUUUACAAGUAUGAUUCCACAUGUUACAGAACAACAAGAGAUGUGGGUGUUUUGUAUGCAGACAUAUACAUGUAUGUAAACGUAUAGGAAAAGGUCUGAAAUUACGCAAGCCAAACUGAUAACAAAAUUACCCAUUGAGAAGGGGAAAGUGGUAGAAAAGAGAGAAUGCUGAUCAAGGGGAUUCUAGCCUUAUCUGAGCUGUUUGAAUUGUUUCACAAGAAUAAUGUAUUCAUGUGUUACUUGUGUGCUUAUAAUAAAUCUAAAAUAAGUUUGUCCUAA